GCUUGGUGCACCUGCCGCGAGAGUCCGCGUCGUAAUGGGAGCGGGGCAGCGGGCGACAGGUAGGCAGGCCCUCGACUCGUCAACCUGUGGAGAAGGGGAAUCAGUCACAUGGCCAGGUUCUCCAGAGAGGAACUUGGAGAAGAAUUUUUAUCGACGCAUCUGAUCAAGAGUGUGUUAUCAAUUUCAGCAAUCAUUAAAAGAGCUCUCUGAUCCUUUUUCUAUUUUUCUUUACUUCCUCUUGUGCAUGCACGUGGGCGAACUUCGUGCCAAGGCUCCGCGAGGGAAACUGGAUUAAGGAACGCAAGACUCGGACCAAUUUUAUAUAUAUAUAUAUAUAUAUGUAUCACAUAAAAAAAACAAUUUUUGUUAAAAGAAAUAUAUUUUCUUGUUUUUAAAAAAAAAUAUAGUUUUCGAUUAAAAA